UACGGAGGGUGCGAGCGUUAAUCGGAAUUACUGGGCGUAAAGCGCACGUAGUCGGCUUUGCAAGUCGGUUGUGAAAUCCCCGGGCUCAACCUGGGAACUGCAUCCGAGACUGCAUUGCUAGAGUAUGGGAGAGGAAAGCGGAAUUUCUGGUGUAGCAGUGAAAUGCGUAGAUAUCAGAAGGAACAUCAGUGGCGAAGGCGGCUUUCUGGACCAAUACUGACGAUCAGGUGCGAAAGCGUGGGGAGCAAACAGG
rnacentral:rRNA from 1 species